UAAAAAAUACAAUUCAAAUUUUUACUUUAAGACAUUUUAAGCCACAAAAUUUCAAAAGCAAUAAAGAUGAAGUAAACUAACGCAUUUGUUCAUUAACUGUAUUGGUUUUGAAUUGAAAAGAAAAAUGUUUUGUUAUUUGAUUUGAGUAUUUUUCAACUUAAGUUUUACAUCAUAUUCGGCCAAUAUCAUUAUGGGUGUGCAAAUUAAAGGGCACCUCCUAGUAUCUGGGCCGAGUGAAGGUUUUCAAAAACCAACGUAUAAUAAUACAAAAAUAAAACUUAAAAAUUGUAUAUUAAUAAUUAGUGCACACAAAUAAGAUUUGAUUGGUGCAGUCAGAGAAAAGUUUCACACUCAAGGUUUUGUUUUUGUUAGUGAAAGAGAUAAAGGAUUUUAAAACCGUUUCGAUAGACCAGGGUUCAAAUCAAAAUGGUUUCUGAAUAUCACUAACAAAAUGAAACAUAUUGAGUUGCCCGAGAAGAUACCAGUGACGUUUUAAAAGAAAGAGAAUACACUGACGUUGCAAGUUCAAGGUUAUAUAGUGGAUGUAACAACAGUUUCCAGGCAAGAUCUCUCAGUUUUUGGCGAGUCACCAAAUGUUGUGUACAUUGUCUUGGAGAAGUGGGUCGUUUUGAAGAUUCGUUUCUUGGAAGCAGACACCUGGAACCAAGUUCUAUUCUCUCGAAAAGUAAAUAAUACUUCCUUCACGGGAAAGGAAUCGCCGAAUGUUUGACUUUGUGGCCGGGUCUGCUAGUUUAAUUAUAAAACAAAACCAAAAUUCUGAAUCCGAAAUUUUGAUGUAAAAGGAGCUCCACGUUGUCGAAGGCCAAUAGUCGCAAAUGUCGAUAAAAUAAUGGAAAUCGUCAAGUCUGGCCAUCAGACGAGCACUGUUUCGAUUACCCAAUAAACUCUUUGGAAUCACUUGAAGAAUGGUGGAUACACCGAGAAACCUGUCCCAACGAAAGACAACAGCAUUAACCGAAUUUCAAUUUGUGAAUCGCUGCUGCAUCGUACUAAAAUCGAUCCAUUUCUAAAG
rnacentral:lncRNA from 1 species